AUAUAUGCAGAGGAAAACAGCUGGGAAAACUGUUGGCAUCAACAUUGACUCUCCUCAGCAAAAAAUUGCAGUGCUACAAAGUAACGCUGGAGUGUGCGCCAAAAAUUGUGGAGUUUUAUAAGAAGUUUGGCUACUCCACUUCAGAUGAGAUUCACAUGCAGUGCUGGUUCUUUGACUGAAUCCAAAAGAAUCUUGAACAUCACAGAAUGUUUGCUUUAGAACUCUUAAUCUGUUCUAUUUUCUGAGAUUGGACUACCUACAACUUGCACCUUUUUUAGCCAGCAAAA